rnacentral:rRNA from 1 species
GACGUAGGGGGCGAGCGUUAUCCGGAUUCACUGGGCGUAAAGGGCGCGUAGGCGGUUACGUAAGUCCGAUGUGAAAAGUCACGGCUCAACUGUGAUCGUGGCAUCGGAUACUUCGUUGACUUGAGGUCGGUAGAGGCAAGUGGAACUAGCGGUGUAGCGGUGAAAUGCGCAGAUAUCGCUAGGAACGCCGGUGGCGAAGGCGACUUGCUGGGCCGUACCUGACGCUGAUGGCGCGAAAGCUAGGGGAGCGAACCGG